GGAGUUUUGAAGGGAGUAGGAGUUCAUCUCACUCUCCUCCACUCACUGAGGGGCAAGUUGAGCAUUGGUUGGGGGUGAUACUGCAGCAGCUCAAUGCCAUGACACUGCCCCGAGGAGCCUUUCUCAGCACCCAACCCGUGACCUGAGGGAAAUGGCAUGGAGCUGUGUCAGGACAGGUCAGUCAGGUGGCAGCCAGCACUCUCUUUUCAUACCCUGGAGAAAGAUCGACUUGAGGCCCAAGAAAUACCUUCAGUGAGAUUUGUCUUUCCAUCAUACAAGCAGACUCCAUUACUCAGCUGGCUAAGGCACAUGACUUCUGUUGCAAGUUUUUUUUGCAUAUAUUUCAACUGGGAGCACUCAAGCAUGUGAAAUAUUUCACGUUACAUGGCAGGAUCAAGGGCAGCAGAGAAAGAAGACUGCAGUUCACAUUUUAUUGGAACUGUUUGGAGAAAGAACAUAUAGAGGUGCCAUGUAAUUACAGGAGAUGGAUUCUGCAGUUUUUAUAACGUGAUUUCUGAUAACAUUUAACUGGAUCAGAG